GUGAAAUUUGAUGAUUUUGAUGCAGCAGUUGGGGCACUUAAUGUACAUUGUACCCACUGGACCUUGGUGUUUCUAAAUGCUGCUUCAAAAGAAGUGUCAGUUGUAGACCCUUUAGGUUCAAAUGAGGAAGAACAGACUAAGACAGCAGGAGAAAGAUUUAGGAGGUUCUUCCAAAUGCGCCACAACAUUCUGAGCAGAAAAGACUGGAGCAACAUCAGAUGGAGGCCAAAGAAAAUUAGACACACAAACCAGCAGGAUGGAAAUAGUUGUGGGGUUUUUGUUAUGAAGUUUGGCGAGGUAAUACUGUCAGAAUUCCCUGAUGUCCCCAACUAUAUUUCCAUCGAUGGAAGCCUGGAGGCAGUAACUGAAAUUAGGCAACAGAUGGCAGCUACUAUUUUAGCAUCUUCCGGUAUUAACAGUUGUUCAUUUAUUGUGAU